rnacentral:ncRNA from 1 species
UAGGUAAGGGAAGUCGGCAAAUUAGAUCCCUAACUUCGGGAUAAGGAUUGGCUCUGAAGAUUGAGAUAAUCGGGCUUGCAAUAUAUGGUUUAUGUACUCGUUCUGGGUAAAUAGAGAUUUUUGGAUCUUGUUCCUCGGAUAGCAGUUACGCAACCAAUUGUGGAACUUUUUUGCUAAAAUUUUUAAGGGAUUAGCGCAAGAUAUAUUCUUGUUAAAUUAUAACGAUUAUCAAUAAACAAUCAAUUCAGAACUGGCACGGACUUGGAGAAUCCGACUGUCUAAUUAAAACAAAGCAUUGUGAUGGCCCUAAUGGGUGUAACAAAAUGUGAUUUUUGCCCAGUGUUCUGAAUGUCAAAGUGAAGAAAUUCAAGUAAGCGCGGGUAAACGGCGGGAGUAACUAUGGCUCUCUUAACCCUCGAGCGGAACGGACGUGUUAGCGGAUAGUUACGAAAAAAAGAAAAAAAGUACAAUUCAUUAAUUUUCUAUGUA